UGGGGAAUAUUGCACAAUGGGCGCAAGCCUGAUGCAGCCAUGCCGCGUGUAUGAAGAAGGCCUUCGGGUUGUAAAGUACUUUCAGUCGGGAGGAAGGUGUCAAGGUUAAUAACCUUGGCAAUUGACGUUACCGACAGAAGAAGCACCGGCUAACUCCGUGCCAGCAGCCGCGGUAAUACGGAGGGUGCAAGCGUUCAUCGGAAUUACUGGGCGUAAAGCGCACGCAGGCGGUUGAUUGAGUCAGAUGUGAAAUCCCCGGGCUUAACCCGGGGAUUGAAUCUGGUACUGGUCAGCUAGAGUCCUGUAGAGGGGGGUAGAAUUCCAUGUGUAGCGGUGAAAUGCGUAGAGAUGUGGAGGAAUACCGGUAGCGAAGGCGGCCCCCUGGACAAAGACUGACGCUCAGGUGCGAAAGCGUGGGGAGCAAACAGG
rnacentral:rRNA from 1 species